ensembl:lncRNA
UAUUUUGGGAAGAAUUUAAUAUAUUCUCUAUUGUUAAGUGCACCAGAUGCUGGACUUCUGAAACAACAAUUAUGCUUCAGCAUAAUAGCAUUUUCUACAUAUUUCUGUUCAUGUUGUUUGUUCCUCUGAUUUACCCGGAAUCAAUGAAUCUGAAAAACAAAAAGAUUCUUUAAGCACCUGGUAAAUUUCAGGUCCCACAUUAGAAAAUGAGCAAGCAUCAAUAAUAUUGAUGGAGGUGAAAAUAUGACACUGAGACUUCCAGGUAACGUCCCGAGUUUACUUUCAUAGUUUACUAGGCUCAGGUUUCAUGGCGAAGGAUUAUUUGAAAGACUCACUCACUGACAUGUGCUGAUUUUCUGAUUUUAAAUUUGAACACUCCCAAAGCAUAAACAGAUCACCUCCAGCAACACUGUAAAAAAAUACUCAAAGUUUAAAAAAAAAGGAGUAACUUGUAGCAGUACUUAGUGUCCAACAGAAAACACUCCAUCUGCUAAACAAUAUCUCGACUGCAAAGCUUAUCUUACUGUUGGCGGAUAGAUAAUGACAUAGCCCAGUCAUUAUCACCGUGGCAACAGUGACCAGAAACUAUCAGAGGAAAAUUGCACAUGGAACAGCUGGCUCUCGAGCAGGCAUGCCUCAGCUUCCUCUGGAGUAUGCUUUUUCUGCAAGUCUGGUGUGCUAGAGGGUACUACCAACCCCAUGCGGCUCCAAGACUACAGAUUAUAUAAAUCCACUGGUCCUGCUCUUCCGGAUUUAUUCUUCCCGCCAAUAGGAGCACUUACCACGUUCCAAGCACCGUCCUAGGCACUGAGGAUACAGCAGUGAAUAAAGUUGAGUGCCGGGUAGAGAAGUCAAUAACCAAGCUAGUAAAUCCUGUAUAUUGUCAAACACUGGUAAGAACAAGGGAGACUAGCACAAGCAAUGGGCCUAAGGAGGCUUGCUUUCCCUCCUCUGCACUCCCACACUGCUUUGUAUCUGCUUCUCAUUUGUCACGCUGGCUCCAAGCUUUGGGCACCAGGUCUCCCUGGACAUUCCGCCCUGGCACCGCACCUAGCACCCAGCGGCUGCUCAGGAGACGUUUGUAGAAUGAACGAAGUCACUUCUUAGUUCCCCGUUCAACAAACCUUUCCUGAUCCUAGGCCCAACAGCUUAAAAGGCUGGAGGACCAACGAGGCUGGAAACUCAGAGGCGGCCGAACGCGGUGGCUCACGCCUGUAAUCCCAGCACUUUAAGAGGCCGAGGCAGGAGGAUCCCUUGAAGCCAGGAGUUCGAGACCAGCCUGGGCAACAAAGUGAGACCACCCUCCCCCCCCCCACACUUCCGUCUCUACAAAAAGAAAGGAAGAAAAACGAAACCCAGAGGAAAUCACACAGGCAAAAGCGCUUUACAAACUUUAAAAAUGAAAAUUGUUCUAGAGAAAUAAUCGCGCGCCGGAGGCGGAAGCCCCAGAGCCUCAGCUCCCACGUGGCGGCGGAGCCGAGGGAGGGUCCAGGAGCCGAGGCUACAGCCCGAGCGCUGGAACCCCGGUCAGGCUCCCGCUCUCCGCCACGACGAACCGCAUUCGGCCGCGGCGCUCCGUAGGCGCCCAGGGACGCACACCUAAGCUGGGAGACGCGGAUACUAGCCCGGCCUAGCUCCGCUACCUCCCAAGAGACCGGAACCACGGGCCCACCAACCGCGUUGCCAUGGCAAUUCAACCACCGCCGACACCGGAACCGGAAACUUCAUUGGGAGGUGACCCCUUCCCGGCAUCCGCGGAAUGGGCAAGUCCCGCGCCUCUCCCAGUUGUCUCAGGGUAUCCCAGCUGGCCUCAUUGGCUCACGGGAGGAAAGUCGUCUUCCCUCUUGUUUUGCCUCUCGUUGCCCU